UGGUGGGGUAAGAGCUCACCAAGGCGACGAUCGGCAGCCGUUUUGAGAGGAAGAACGGCCACACUGGGACUGAGUCACGGCCCAGACUCCUACGGGAGGCCGCAGUGGGGAAUCUUCCGCAAUGGGCGCAAGCCUGACGGAGCCAGACCGCGUGGGGGAGGAAGGCCCUUGGGUUGUAAACCCCUUUUCUCAGGGAAGAAACCUGAGGGUACCUGAGGAAAAAGCCUCGGCUAACUCCGUGCCAGCAGCCGCGGUAAUACGGACGAGGCAAGCGUUAUCCGCUAUUACUGGGCGUAAAGCGUUCGUAGGGGGCUUGUCAAGUCUGCUGUCAAAGCUCGGAGCUCAACUCCGAAGGGGCAGUGGAAACUGGGGAGCUAGAGGGCGGCAGGGGCAGUAGGAAUUCCCGGUGUAACGGUGAAAUGCG
rnacentral:rRNA from 1 species